UGGGGAAUUUUGGACAAUGGGCGAAAGCCUGAUCCAGCAAUGCCGCGUGUGUGAAGAAGGCCUUCGGGUUGUAAAGCACUUUUGUCCGGAAAGAAAUCCUUGGCUCUAAUACAGUCGGGGGAUGACGGUACCGGAAGAAUAAGCACCGGCUAACUACGUGCCAGCAGCCGCGGUAAUACGUAGGGUGCAAGCGUUAAUCGGAAUUACUGGGCGUAAAGCGUGCGCAGGCGGUUUGCUAAGACCGAUGUGAAAUCCCCGGGCUCAACCUGGGAACUGCAUUGGUGACUGGCAGGCUAGAGUAUGGCAGAGGGGGGUAGAAUUCCACGUGUAGCAGUGAAAUGCGUAGAGAUGUGGAGGAAUACCGAUGGCGAAGGCAGCCCCCUGGGCCAAUACUGACGCUCAUGCACGAAAGCGUGGGGAGCAAACAGGAUUAGAUACCCUGGUAGUCCACGCCCUAAACGAUGUCAACUAGUUGUUGGGGAUUCAUUUCCUUAGUAACGUAGCUAACGCGUGAAGUUGACCGCCUGGGGAGUACGGUCGCAAGAUUAAAAACUUCAAAUGAAUUGACGGGGUCAUAGCUGUUUCCU
rnacentral:rRNA from 1 species